GGGGACUUAGCUUGGUGGCCUAAGUGCCUGCUUUGCAAGCAGGCGGUUGUGAGUUCAAUCCCCG
rnacentral:tRNA from 1 species